rnacentral:rRNA from 1 species
UACGUAGGGGGCAAGCGUUGUCCGGAUUUAUUGGGCGUAAAGAGCGUGUAGGCGGCCAGGUAGGUCUGCUGUGAAAACUCGGGGCUUAACUCCGGGCCUGCAGUGGAUACGGGCAGACUAGAGGUAGGUAGGGGAGAAUGGAAUUCCCGGUGUAGCGGUGAAAUGCGCAGAUAUCGGGAGGAACACCGGUGGCGAAGGCGGUUCUCUGGGCCUUACCUGACGCUGAGGAGCGAAAGCGUGGGGAGCGAACAGG